rnacentral:rRNA from 1 species
AUUGAACGCUGGCGGCAUGCCUUACACAUGCAAGUCGAACGGCAGCACGGGUGCUUGCACCUGGUGGCGAGUGGCGAACGGGUGAGUAAUACAUCGGAACAUGUCCUGUAGUGGGGGAUAGCCCGGCGAAAGCCGGAUUAAUACCGCAUACGAUCCACGGAUGAAAGCGGGGGACCUUCGGGCCUCGCGCUAUAGGGUUGGCCGAUGGCUGAUUAGCUAGUUGGUGGGGUAAAGGCCUACCAAGGCGACGAUCAGUAGCUGGUCUGAGAGGACGACCAGCCACACUGGGACUGAGACACGGCCCAGACUCCUACGGGAGGCAGCAGUGGGGAAUUUUGGACAAUGGGCGAAAGCCUGAUCCAGCAAUGCCGCGUGUGUGAAGAAGGCCUUCUGGUUGUAAAGCACUUUUGUCCGGAAAGAAAUCCUUGACUCUAAUACAGUCGGGGGAUGACGGUACCGGAAGAAUAAGCACCGGCUAACUACGUGC